GGUCACUGCACCUAACGCUACAGUGUUCAUAAAAAAAAUAACCAAGCUAGCUAAUAGCUUAUUGCUGAGUAACGAGGUUUGAUAAUUGGGAGAUAACAUCGACUAAAAAAACGAAUUUAAAGAAAAAAAAAAUCGCCGCUGGAGGGUGAAGGGUGGCAGUACUGAGUCGACUAGCUGCUUUUUAAAACCCCACAAGGAAGAACCACUCUGCGCAUGCGCUCACGUGAAAAAUGACUGCGGUGUAGUUCCUUCUUUUAUUUUCCAGCAUGGCUUUGGUUCCUUAUGUGGAAAAUCCCUUGCCAGCGCUUUCCAAAUUGAACAAUUCAUCCGCGCAUUUUCGGUUCGCAAACCACGACCUGAGUCUUGCCCAAGACUGGAAAAACCUCGGGGUGGCAGCAGUUGUGUGGGAUGCGGCGGUUGUCAUGUGUAUGUACCUGGAGCUGGGGAAGGUGGAGUUAAAGGGGAAGGAGGUGAUUGAGCUGGGAGCCGGGACUGGACUGGUGGGCAUUGUAGCAGCCUUGAUGGGUGCCAAAGUGACCAUCACUGACAGAGAACCUGCUCUGGAUUUUCUGUCAGCAAACGUGAAGGCCAACCUGCCCCCAGAAUCCCAGGAGUCAGUGUUCGUGUCAGAGCUGUCGUGGGGCGAGGGCCUUGAGCGCUACCCAGCUGGGGGGUUCGAUCUCGUCCUGGGAGCAGACAUCAUUUACCUGGAGGACACCUUUGUGCCGCUGCUGCACACUCUGGAGCACUUGUGCUCGGACACUGCGGUGGUUUUCCUCGCCUGCAAGAUCCGAUACAAGCGCGACACGAACUUCCUGAGCAUGCUGAAGCAGCAGUUCGCAGUGGAAGAAGUCUACUUUGACAGGCAAAGGGACAUCCAUGUGUAUAAAGCCUGGAAACUGACAACAAGGAGGGAUCUGUGAACACACACACAGACGCAACCGUUGUCUACCUUCAUUUUGUAUUUUAUUCUCCACCUUGUACAACAACUUGGUUGCUUGGGACGAGGAUCUGCUGCCCAUCACUGGUCUGGGCGUACUGCAGGAUCGUUGCACCAGACUGGGCUCCAGCAGCGUUGGCCAUGGUCAGAGUCUGCAGGCCCUGCACUCCAUCUGUGCCGUUAUUGGCCAGCUGAAUGGCUCCUCCCUGAGUAAUGGCAACUGCAGAGGGAUUGUAUGGGAGUGGGCAUGGUGACUGUGGUGAUGGCAGGAGCUGAGUCGUCCUCCGACUUCUCUUCCUCAAUUCGAGGCACCGCUGGAACGUCUGACGAUAAGUCGUUUAAAAUCUUUCUGCAGAGGGGGAAAACGAUCACAGAGAAACAUUUUUUUAAACUUUUACACUUACACAACAACAAUCAUUUACAGGUUAUUAUAGUCGUACAAAUAUUUUUUUUUAAAAUGUCGAUAUACAUUUGUGAUUAGAUGCUGCACCAACCUAUAAGAAGGUCGCCUGGACAGAAUCUCUCUCCUCUUCUGAGAAUCUGUCACGCUAUCUACGGAUUCCUGAGAAUCCUCACUCUCGGCAACAGUGGAAAUCUGAAACGAGUCAAACUUUAUUGCCAAAAAUGAAACUCGUUAAUAAGACAAAUCUGGACUUGUGGGGACUGGAUGACUGAGGGCUGUGCAGCUUGGAUCACACCAUGCACCUGGACUGUCUGACCGUUGGGUAACUGAACUAGAGUGACUGUGGGACUACUGGACGUCACCUGUCCUGCUGCUAUGGACGCCUGCAAACCAUAACAACCAGUCAUCAAAUGUCACACACAAAAAGUAACAGACAGCAGAGAUUUAAACCGACGCUGGAGAUAUUUACCUGGGUCAAGGUGAUCUGCUGGGUCUCGGGCUCAGAGACAACAGUAUCACCACCUUGCUGUGAGUCUGCAGCAGCCUCCAUGGUCAUUUAAAAUCUGAAAAUGUGAGAAACUUCUUAUAUGGAUUUGAUUCAUCAUGCUUACAGCCCAUAAAGCGAGUGAGAAACACAGCAGUCACUCUUCAGGCAGUGUCUUGUUGAUAUUCCUAAGGAGGGUGUGGCUUAGCUAAACAUGCUAGCACGCAUUUCAUUGAUUAAACAAAGUUUUCUUGCUGUAACAUCAGUGCAAGCCAGCUAAAAUAACACCUCGUUGUGACGAGGAUAUUGUGUUAAACACGUUACGACCUGACGUAGGCGUGCUGUUGUUUUUGUUUUUGUUUUUUAAAUAAAGAAGUGCUGCUGCAAUAA